GGCUUAUGGUAUUUUUAAAGCAACAAUCAUACCAGGCACACAGAUCCCAUGUGAAAUAACUUACAAUAAAACAGAGUAAUAAACUUAUACUUCUAUGCAACAGAAAGAAUAAAGUAAAAAGAUUUAAGUAGGUCUAUCAGGUACAACCUGUGAGUCAUUUCUUUUCUAAUAUACAGUACUGCUAUCUUGCAGAAAGAUAAGUCCUGCGCUCACUCCCA